AACGUAGGGUGCGAGCGUUAAUCGGAAUUACUGGGCGUAAAGCGUGCGCAGGCGGUUUUGUAAGACAGGUGUGAAAUCCCCGGGCUUAACCUGGGAACUGCAUUUGUGACUGCAAGGCUAGAGUGUGGCAGAGGGGGGUAGAAUUCCGCGUGUAGCAGUGAAAUGCGUAGAUAUCUGGAGGAAUACCGGUGGCGAAGGCGGCAUCCUGGACCGGCAUUGACGCUGAGGAGCGAAAGCCAGGGGAGCAAACGGG
rnacentral:rRNA from 1 species